UACGUAGGGUGCGAGCGUUGUCCGGAAUUACUGGGCGUAAAGAGCUCGUAGGUGGUUUGUCGCGUUGUCCGUGAAAACUCACAACUCAAUUGUGGGCGUGCGGGCGAUACGGGCAGACUGGAGUACUGCAGGGGAGACUGGAAUUCCUGGUGUAGCGGUGGAAUGCGCAGAUAUCAGGAGGAACACCGGUGGCGAAGGCGGGUCUCUGGGCAGUAACUGACGCUGGAGGAGCGAAAGCAUGGGGAGCGAACAGG
rnacentral:rRNA from 1 species